rnacentral:lncRNA from 1 species
UACCAUCUAAACUAUUUAAAGUCGAGUAAAUGGAGAUAAUUAAAAUAAAUCAUCAUACGGUAAUUUCAUUACCUUUCAACUCAUUUCAACCAAAUAAAAUCAAUCCAUAAAAAUCGAGUAAUCAACUUGGCUUAUGAAUUUCUUAAAACUUUGGCUCGUGCCAAAACUCAUACUCGGUGAUACCUUGCGCAGUGCAUCCAAUCGAGUUCGCCAAGGCUUUUAAAAUUUUGUAUACACUUAAAAUAUAUUUUUAGUUUGAGAAAAAUACAGCCGUUCCUUGGCGAUGGCUGAGUUCCCCUUCACGUGGUGGUUUGGCGUGAAGUGAACCCUAAGCUUUACCCCAAGAGAUACCCUACGCGCCUCUCCGUUCGAGGUAAUAAUAUAAUGGAGUUUACCGUGCCCCUCUAAUAGGCUGGUCCACGAAACCCCCUCUGCAGUAAAUAAUUAAUAUAUAACCCACCAAUCAAUAAAAUUCAUUCUAACAUGACAGGGCAAUAUAUCACAACUUAGCCUCUCAAGGCUGAAUACACAGUAUAAAUAAUUCUAACACCAAAAUUAGUUUAGCCAUUCAUGCUCAUUUAUUGUCAUAAGCCAUUCAAUUCAAAACCAUAAAUUUGCAACACAAGCAGACAGUCUCCAAUUACUCUAUUUUCAAAACUAAUAUUCGAUUUUUCGAAAAAUUUAUAAAAUCAUUUUAUAAAAUCACAAUUUCUCUUAAAACAUAGCAAUUUACCAUUUAAACCCAUUUUCCAUAAAAUCACACAGUUGUAUAAAACUACUCUAGAUAAUUAAGACGAUAAUAAGUUCACUCACAGUUCUAGGAGUCGAUGUACUCCUAAUCCCAAUCUCCAAGCACAAUUUCUGUACUUUUACCAGUGUACUUUGCUCACCACCUAUCCACAAU